rnacentral:rRNA from 1 species
CAGCAGCCGCGGUAACACGUAGGGUGCGAGCGUUAAUCGGAAUUACUGGGCGUAAAGCGUGCGCAGGCGGUUGUGUAAGACAGGUGUGAAAUCCCCGGGCUUAACCUGGGAACUGCGCUUGUGACUGCACAGCUAGAGUAUGGCAGAGGGGGGUGGAAUUCCACGCGUAGCAGUGAAAUGCGUAGAGAUGUGGAGGAACACCGAUGGCGAAGGCAGCCCCCUGGGCCAAUACUGACGCUCAUGCACGAAAGCGUGGGGAGCAAACAGGAUUAGAUACCCGGGUAGUCCCUGUCUCUUAUAC